AUUGAACGCUGGCGGCAGGCCUAACACAUGCAAGUCGAGCGAGCGGCGGACGGGUGAGUAAUGUAUGGGAAACUGCCCGAUGGAGGGGGAUAACUACUGGAAACGGUGGCUAAUACCGCAUACUAUCGGAUGAACCCAUAUGGGAUUAGCUAGUAGGUGGGGUAAGGGCUCACCUAGGCGACGAUCCCUAGCUGGUCUGAGAGGAUGAUCAGGCACACUUGACAUGAGACACGGGCCAGACGCCUACGGGAGGCAGCAGGGGGGAAUAGUGCACAAUGGGCGCAAGCCUGAUGCAGCCAUGCCGCGUGGGUGAAGAAGGCCUUCGGGUUGUAAAGCACUUGCAGCGAGGAGGCGUUACUCGCAGAAGAAGCACCUGCUAACUCCGUGCCAGCAGCCGCGUUAAUUC
rnacentral:rRNA from 1 species